rnacentral:rRNA from 1 species
GGUGAACGCUGGCGGCGUGCCUAAUACAUGCAAGUCGAACGGAGUGUCGCACGGGUGUGUAAUGUAUAUCUAAUCUGCCCUUCACUAGAGGACAACAGUUGUAGACGCCUGCUAAUACGUGUAGUAUGAGGCUAUAUUGUAUCAGCUAGUUGGUGCGGUAAUGGCUCACCAAGGCUAUGCAGCAUAACUGGGCUGAGAGGAUGAUCAGUCACACUGGGACUGAGACACGGUCCAGACUCCUACGGGAGGCAGCAGUAGGGAAUAUUGCGCAAUGGGGGAAAGCCUGAAGCAGCAACGCCGCGUGAGUGAUGACGGCCUUCGGGUUGUAAAGCUCUGUUAAUCGGGACGCGGUACCGGACUAGAAAGCCACGGCUAACUACGUGCCAGCAGCCGCGGUAAUUC